rnacentral:rRNA from 1 species
CCUACGGGAGGCAGCAGUGAGGAAUUUUCCGCAAUGGGCGAAAGCCCGACGGAGCAAUACCGCGUGAGGGAUGAAGGAUUUUGGUCUGUAAACCUCUUUUCUCAAGAAAGAAGUUCUGACGGUACUUGAGGAAUAAGCAUCGGCUAACUCCGUGCCAGCAGCCGCGGUAAUACGGGGGAUGCAAGCGUUAUCCGGAAUGAUUGGGCGUAAAGCGCCUGUAGGUUGUUUAUUAAGUCCGUUGUUAAAGCCUAGGGCUCAACCCUAGAAAAGCAAUGGAAACUAGUAGACUAGAGUAUGGCAGGGGUAGAGGGAAUUUCUAGUGUAGCGGUGAAAUGCGUAGAUAUUAGAAAGAACACCGGUGGCGAAAGCGCUCUACUGGACCAUUACUGACACUCAGAGGCGAAAGCUAGGGUAGCAAAAGGGAUUAGAUACCCCUGUAGUCCUAGCCGUAAACGAUGGAUACUAGAUGUUGUGUNAUAUGUACAGUAUACGUAGUCUACGUACGUUAAGUAUCCGUCCGUCGGGUAGGUACGUCGUCGCGAGGUAGUAACGUACGAAGAAAGUAGUACGGCGUGAGACGUGUCCGACGGCGACGACGAGGGAGGUAGG